rnacentral:rRNA from 1 species
UACAGAGGUCUCAACCGUUGUUCGGAUUCAUUGGGCGUAAAGGGUGCGUAGGUGGUCGCGUAAGUCGGAUGUGAAAUCUCGGGGCUCAACCCUGAAACUGCAUUCGAUACUGCGUGGCUAGGGUGCUGGAGGGGAGACUGGAAUUUACGGUGUAGCAGUGAAAUGCGUAGAUAUCGUAAGGAAGACCAGUGGCGAAGGCGAGUCUCUGGACAGUUACCGACACUGAGGCACGAAGGCCAGGGGAGCGAACGGG